UUAAAUUGAAGAGUUUGAUCAUGGCUCAGAUUGAACGCUGGCGGCAGGCCUAACACAUGCAAGUCGAACGGUAACAGGAAGCAGCUUGCUGUUUCGCUGACGAGUGGCGGACGGGUGAGUAAUGUCUGGGAAACUGCCUGAUGGAGGGGGAUAACUACUGGAAACGGUAGCUAAUACCGCAUAACGUCGCAAGACCAAAGAGGGGGACCUUCGGGCCUCUUGCCAUCGGAUGUGCCCAGAUGGGAUUAGCUAGUAGGUGGGGUAACGGCUCACCUAGGCGACGAUCCCUAGCUGGUCUGAGAGGAUGACCAGCCACACUGGAACUGAGACACGGUCCAGACUCCUACGGGAGGCAGCAGUGGGGAAUAUUGCACAAUGGGCGCAAGCCUGAUGCAGCCAUGCCGCGUGUAUGAAGAAGGC
rnacentral:rRNA from 1 species